UCAAAUCCAUAUCUUCCCAAUUUGGAGCUGCUCUUUUUGGUUCCGAUCUCAAAACACAAUGCCAGUACAAGCUGGUUGGGGCUACUCCCCCUGAAAAUGCUGGAAGUUCACAGCGAGGUAGACUACUAGCCCUCAUUCAAUGACUAGCAGAGACCCCCACCAUGUUUUUAGGACACGUGCUCAAGAGGGUGGGACAAUAUGUUAAUAAUUUCUCAGAAUUCCAGCCCAUCUUCAUGGAAUGUAAUGAAUAUAUGUAUGCAAUGUCUUUAAAUACGUAACCAUUGCUUUUCUCGGUGUGAGAGGUAGGAGGAGAUAUCCCCCUUGCAUCUGGUGCCAUAAGGAGCAUACCUGGUUUAUGACCUUACGUGAGUUAUGAGUUUGAUUCCACACAUCACUCCCUUCACUAUUAAGAGGACAAAGAACUUCUGUCACAGAAGGAUGCCCAUCUGCAAGGCUUACGUUUCAUGCUUCUUCCUUCCUCUCUGCUUGGUAAAACUCCAUGCUGGGCUCAUUUGGAAGGAAGGCUUGGUGUUCUGAUUUCUUGGACAGUCGUUACCUAAAGCCUGGAGUGCCUCUGUCAAGUGUGGCGGUGCAACUCCCGCUCCCCACACUCUCCCCCUUCUCUCAGGCCUCUCAGUGCACUUCUUCUCCUCAGACAAAAGGCGGAGAACCAGUACAUGGAGCUCCCUUUGGCUGCAGAACGUCAAAAAUUGUUUGCAUUUGAGUGGGAAAACCCGGAUUCAGGAAGAAAAACUCAGUUAACCUAGACAGUGUUACCCCAGGGUUUUAAGAACAGCCCCAGCUUUUUUGGAAAUCAGCUAGCCAAGGAACUGGAGGAGUGUAUGUAUGUAGAUGAUGUCCUGGUUGCAACGGAGACCAAAGAGGAAUGCUAUCAAUGGACAGUAAGGCUGCUCAAUGCCCUGGGGCUAAGUGGAUACAGAUUAUCACAGCAGCAGGCCCCAGUAGUGCAGACCCAAGUAACCUACUUAGGUUACAUAUUGUCAGGAGGACAGCAUGAAGCAAUAUGUAGAACUCUCAAGCCCAUUACGGCAAAGGACUUGUGGACUUAGGAGUGACAGAAUGGUGCUGAUUAUGGAUUCAUAAUUACGGA
ensembl:lncRNA